rnacentral:misc_RNA from 1 species
UCCAUACAAAAAUAAGUUCUGAAUGCCAAAAAUAUAUAGUCAAAAUUAGAUCGUACCGAAUUCAAUUAUCAGCACAUAAAUUCAAUAACUCAAGGCAUAUUGUACUUUCUCAACUUUCAUGCAUUUAAUACAAGAGGGAUUCAAAUUUCCAAGCCAAGCCCCUAUCAUUCAGUAUAGGCUAAAUUCCUUAUCAUUAAAAGCACAUGAUAAAAACCUCGCAAGGUAGCCCUUCCCAGAUUAAAGGUAGAAAUAGAUAUUAAGCCUUCUGCUAUUAGAAUAUAGGAGAAACAGUCAUAGCAAAGAUUUGGAUGGUAAUAUUAAGUAAAAGACAAUGACUUGAAUACCCCAAAUCUCAAAUAAUUUCCUUGAUUCAAAAAAAAGGGGCUCAAUCCUAACAUAUCACCUGAAGAUAUAUGCUUGUAUCAUAUUGGCUCUUCA